rnacentral:lncRNA from 1 species
UAUGUUAAGCACACCAGGCCCAAGCUUGCUUUAUGCAGCGCUUGCAAACUUUGUUUGAGGGACACUAAAGAAAAAACAAUUCGAGCUUUUUGACAGCGUCCAGUCAUGCUUUGUUAAGUUUUUGCCGGUAAAGAUAGGCUGAAGUGCAUUGUAAAAUAGCUGAAAACCGAACUUAGCAAGUUCGGAUAACCUUUACUAUGCUACAACGGCUAAAAUACAUGAAAGUAUGAGG